AUAUUUUGCCCUAUGAUUAUUUAAAUGGCUGCAGUAUUUUGACUGUACAAAGGUAGCAUAAUAAAUAGUUUUUUAAUUGAGGACUGGAAUGAAAGAUUAAAUGAGAAAUUUAUUUUUUAAAUUUUAUUUUUAUAAUUUUAUUUUUGGGUAAAAAAGCCCAAUAAAUUUAUUGGGACGAAAAGACCCUAUAGAAUUUUAUUUAAAUUUUUUAAUUAAUUUUAUUUUUUUUUUUGUUUAUUAAAUUUAAAUUUAAUUGGGGUGAUUAAUAAAUUUAAUCUUUAUUUUUUUUAUUCAUUAAUUUUUGAUUUUUUUGAUUAAAAUUUUUUAUUAUAAGAAAAAAUUACCUUAGGGAUAACAGCGUAAUUUUUAUGGGGAGUUCAUAUUUAUAUAAAAGUUUGCGACCUCGAUGUUGAAUUAAGAUAAGUACUGGAAGAAGAAUUUUUUUUACUAAGUCUGUUCGACUUUUAAAUUCUU
rnacentral:rRNA from 1 species